CCUAAAGGCGUAAUGAAAGUAAAGAUUGUCCUUGCGAUAAUUGAGGGAGGAUGAGUUGCGUUACGAUGCUACUCCGCACUCCCGGGGCGUCUCGUUCUUAUUACAAGAAGAGGCGCACCCAGAGCGUACACGUUGGGACCCGAAAGAUGGUGAACUAUGCCUGGUCAGGAUGAAGUCAGGGGAAACCCUGAUGGAGGUCCGUAGCGAUUCUGACGUGCAAAUCGAUCGUCGGAACUGGGUAUAGGGGCGAAAGACUAAUCGAACCAUCUAGUAGCUGGUUCCCUCCGAAGUUUCCCUCAGGAUAGCUGGCACUCGCGUGAACNAGUCUCAUCNGGUAAAGCNAAUGAUUAGAGGCCUUGGGGCCGAAACGACCUCAACCUAUUCUCAAACUUUAAAUGGGUGAGAUCUCUGGCUUGCUUGAAUAUAUGAAGCCAU
rnacentral:rRNA from 1 species